ACCGAGCACAUCUAUUAUUAACCGACCGAGGAUGGCUUCCUCAACCAAAGUAUAUAUCGAUUUUUUUAAUACUAACCUAACCUUACUGCUAUUCACUGUUUCCGGUAAAUAACCGUCAAUUAGUGGCUUAGGUUAAUAAUGACACACGUACAAUCACUAUGAUGGAUCCUCUUUUCCCCAGUUUUGCAAUGAAGAGUGACGAAACAAAGGGACACAAUAAAAAAAUAUAUCGAGGGCGGUUUCAGACCUCCCUGAAGAGCUAUAAUAUAUAUAGAUAGAUAUUUAUCUAAUUAGAUUAUUAGAAGAAUUAGAUAUAGAUAUUUAUCUAAAUGUAAUUAAACUGAAACGGAUGUGUUCGGGAAUUUUCAGAAAAUUUAUUGACCUGCCCGCUUGUGAAUGUAUUAGAGUUAAAGUCUUCACCCUGCAUGACUUAAAAUAAAUUUGAAAAAAGUUU